UGAUCACUUAAGCAUCCCAAUACUUAACUUGGAAUGAUACAAAAAGUAUAAGCAUGGCCUUUGUGAAAAGGGUCACACACAAAUUCAAGAAACAUUCAAUAUUUUU